CUGUGUGCCUGGCAGCGUGCAGCAAACAGCAGCCUGGUAGUUGUGGGUGUAUCAAGCGUGGAAGGAACCCGGGCGCUGGUUUUCGUCAGCCAGCCCAGCGGUGCACAGGAAGGAACUGGUCUGUUCCCUGGUCUGUUCAAAGAAACUUACCUCCAACAGAGAAUUGAUCAAAAUACUGCUACUUAACAAGUGGUGAAAGCCUGACACAUAACUUAGCAGUUCAUUUUCUGCCAAGCUUUACUGGACCAAUUGAGGUGGUUUUAUCAAUCUGGGGCUGGCAUAUAUUAACCCUCUCCUUGUCUUAUAAAUAUUCCUUACAGAUUUCUGCUUUUACUCAACCACUCUUUUUGAUCAGUGUAUUGAUCAAGCAGAAGCUUCCCUACAGCUUGGGAAUGGUGGGAUGACCAUGGGAUUUGUGGUCUUGGAUUUGUGGGUUGCAAUGUGUGAGAAUUGAGCUUGAACCAAGAAAAUACAUUAGAAGGACUGCGAGAUAGCCAGCAGCUGGGUAACAUUUGAUGACGAUUAUUCUGUAACUACUAUUCCUACGUAGAUAAUCCAACCUGACUAGAACCUACAGUGAGUGAGUUGUGGCUGGGGGUGUUCUGAUGGAGAGACUUUCAGAUUUAUAGUUGAGAAACAGACAAACAGUCUCACAGGAGGACAUCAGGAAAGAUGGAGAGGAGUUCAGGUCUUGUGUAGCUGAGGGGUGUGUGCGUGUCUGUGUGUGUGCUGUACAAGACUGUGUGUGUGUGUGUGUGUGUGUGUGUGUGUGUGUGUGUGUGUGUGCGCGCACGCAUGUAUAGCUCUGAGGGCUGUGUGUGUGUGUGUUUCUCAUUCUGCUUCAGGUCCCAUCCCUGUCAGUGUAAUGCUGGCUCUAUCCUGUCUGCUGUCAGCUCACAGCUCCAGUUUUACACCCCAGCUACAGCCCCGGAACAAACCCACUGUGUGUGUGUGUGUGUGUGUACACCUACUGAAAGGACCUGAGCCCUAGGACCAUGCCUCAGGACUACCUGGUAUGAUGACUCCUUGCUGUCCCCAGUCCACCUGGCUGUGCUGCUGCUCCAGUUUCAACUGUUCUGCCUGCGGCUAUGGAACCCUGACCUGUUCACCGGACGUGCUUGUUGCACCCUCGACAACUACUAUGAUUAUUAUUAUUUGACCAUGCUGGCCAUUUAUGAACAUUUUAACAUUUUAACAUUUUGACCAUGUUCUGUUAUAAUAUCCACCCUGCACAGCCAGAAGAGGACUGGCCACCCCUCAUAGCCUGGUUCCUCUCUAGGUUUCUUCCUAGGUUUUUGGCCUUUCUAGGGAGUUUUUCCUAGGGAGUUUUUCCUAGCCACCGUGCUUCUUUCACAUGCUUUGCUUGCUGUUUGGGGUUUUAGGCUGGGUUUCUGUACAGCACUUUGAGAAUAUCAGCUGAUGUACGAAGGGCUAUAUAAAAAUAAAUUUGAUUUGAUUUGAUUUGGUCUCAAAAAAGACCAGAAGCAACAUCCUCUAAGGCCA
rnacentral:lncRNA from 1 species